UGUCAAUGAGGGAAACCUCGAACAGGGGAGUCCAAGUGCAUGCGUUUUACGUAUGCUGUUCAGUUGUCUAAAAAACAGCCGAAGUAAGGGCUGGGUAAGACAGGUGCCAGCCGCCGCGGUAAUACCUGCAGCCCAAGUGGUGACCAUUAUUAUUGAGCCUAAAGCGUCCGUAGCCGGUUUGGUAAAUCCUCGGGUAAAUCGAGCAGCUUAACUGUUCGAACACCGGGGAGACUGCCAGACUUGGGACCGGGAGAGGUCAGAGGUACUUCAGGGGUAGGGGCUAAAUCCUGUAAUCCUUGAAGGACCACCAGUGGCGAAGGCGUCUGACUAGAACGGAUCCGACGGUAAGGGACGAAACCCUGGGGCGCAAACCGG
rnacentral:rRNA from 1 species